rnacentral:rRNA from 1 species
UGCAGAAUCCCGUGAACCAUCGAGUCUUUGAACGCAAGUUGCGCCCGAAGCCACUAGGCCAAGGGCACGCCUGCCUGGGUGUCA